ACAAAGGAGGAUGCCGGGGCAUACCAGUGUGAGGUCUCCAACCCCCUCAACACCAGGCAGAGUGAUCCAGUCAAGCUGGCUGUGCUCUAUCAACCAUCAAAAAAUUUCCUGUUGUCACCCCUGAUUGUGGCUAGCUUGGCUGCUGAAGUCCUGGCUGGGCUGGCUAUCCUAGGAAGCCUGGUGUAUUUGGUGUUUCUCAAGAAGUUUGACAAUCGGGAAAGCCGCAAAAGAAUACACGGGGAGGAACAAAAGAACUGGACGAGAGCAAAAGAGUAGUACAGAAAGAGCAAGAAGUAAGAGCAUUCUUAGUGAGGAACAGCCAACACUGUCCACCCCAGGUAAGCACAGCCACUGAUCAAGGGAAACCAAAAGGUUCCACCACCUGUCCCCACCAUGGCAUCUGGGACACCAGCCACUGGUGGAUGACGUCUGUCCAGAACACCAAAACCCAGCAACCCAACCAGCCAACUUCAUCCCCCAGGCUAUAGCAGUCAUGGAACUGGGCCCCCAGGCUAUAGCAGUCAUGGAACUGGUUUUCUGAAGUAAAAAAAAUC
ensembl:processed_transcript predicted gene 5893